rnacentral:rRNA from 1 species
GUGGGGAAUAUUGCACAAUGGACGAAAGUCUGAUGCAGCAACGCCGCGUGGAGGAUGACACAUUUCGGUGCGUAAACUCCUUUUAUAUGGGAAGAUAAUGACGGUACCAUAUGAAUAAGCACCGGCUAACUCCGUGCCAGCAGCCGCGGUAAUACGGAGGGUGCAAGCGUUACUCGGAAUCACUGGGCGUAAAGAGCGUGUAGGCGGGUAUAUAAGUCAGAAGUGAAAUCCAAUAGCUUAACUAUUGAACUGCUUUUGAAACUGUGUACCUAGAAUGUGGGAGAGGUAGAUGGAAUUUCUGGUGUAGGGGUAAAAUCCGUAGAGAUCAGAAGGAAUACCGAUUGCGAAGGCGAUCUACUGGAACAUUAUUGACGCUGAGACGCGAAAGCGUGGGGAGCAAACAGGAUUAGAAACCCGAGUAGUCC